AAGUCGUAACAAGGUCUCCGUUGGUGAACCAGCGGAGGGAUCAUUAAAGAGUUAAACAACUCCUAAACCCAUGUGAACCUACCUUUGUUGCCUCGGCAGGUCUGCAACUUACCCUGAGGGGACCUACCCUGUAGGGACCUUACCCGGUAGUUGCGGGCAUAACCUGCCGGUGGUCUACUAAACUCUGUUUACUAUGUUAUUCUGAAUAAUAUAACUAAAUAAGUUAAAACUUUCAACAACGGAUCUCUUGGUUCUG
rnacentral:misc_RNA from 1 species